rnacentral:lncRNA from 1 species
CUUCACACGGACACACAUGAAAUUUGGUGCCGUGACUCGGAUCGGGGGACCUCCCUUGGCAGAUCAAUCCCCUGUCCUCCUGCUCUUUGCUCCAUGAGCGCUUUCCUAGGAGGCAAGAACCCCCAAUCACUUAUUUCCGCACCCCAACCUCUUAUCUCUGUGCUUCAAUCCCUUAUUUCUGCACCCUGACCUCUUAUCUCUGUGCCCCAAUCCCUUAUUUCUGUGCCCCAACCCCUUCUCUGCUUUUCUGGAGGGCAAGAACCCCCCACCCCUUCUCCGUGUCUCUACUCUUUUCUCUAUGCUUGCCUCCUUCACUAAAGGUAAGCUUCCACCUUCCAUUCCUCCUUCUUCUCCCUUAGCCUGUGGUGCAACUCGUCCCAAAUCUUCCUUCUUUCCCUCCCGCCUGUCCCCUCAGUACCAACCCCAAGUGUUGCUGAGUCUUUCUAAUCUUCCUUUUCUACAGACCCAUCUGACCUCUCCCUUCCUCCCCAGGCUGCUCCUCGCCAGGCCGAGCUAGGUCCCAAUUCUUCCUCAGCCUCUGCUCCUCCACCCUAUAAUCUUUUUAUCACCUCCCAUCCUCACACCUGGUCCGACUUACAGUUUCGUUCCGUGACUAGCCCUCCCCCACCUGCCCAGCAAUUUACUCUUAAAACGGUGGCUGGAGCCAAAGGCAUAGUCAAGGUUAAUGCUCCUUUUUCUUUAUCCCAAAUCAGAUAGUGUUUAGGCUCUUUUUCAUCAAAUAUAAAAAUCCAGCCCAGUUCAUGACUUAAAAUCUUUUUAUCACCUCCCCUCCUCACACCUGGUCCGGCUUACAGUUUCGUUCCAUGACUACACAUCUCCAGCACACAAGAACUUCCAAACGCCUGGACCGUAGCAGCCAGGCGUUCCUCCAGAACCUCCUCCCACAGGAGCUUGCUACACGUGCCGGAAAUCUGGCCACUGGGCCAAGGAAUGCCCGCAGCCCAGGAUUUCUCCUAAGCCAUGUCCCAUCUGUGUGGGACCCCACUGAAAAUCGGACUGUUCAACUCACCUGGCAGCCACUCCCAGAGCUCCUGGAACUCUGGCCCAAGGCUCUCUGACUGACUCCUUCUUGGCUUACCGGCUGAAGACUGACGCUGCCUGAUCGCCUCAGAAGCCCCGUAGACCAUCACGGACGCCGAGCUUUAGGUAACUCACAGUGGAGGGUAAGUCCGUCCCCUUCUUAAUCAAUACGGACUUGGCGACCGAUCAUGCACCCCUUACCAUCUCAUUAAAACCUAAUCACCCUUACCCCACUCAACGCCAAUAUCCCAUCCCGCAGCACACUUUAAAAAGAUUAAAGCCUGUUAAUACUUUUAGAGGCCCUCAAAAUAAGUAGAGGCCUUUCCUACAGGGUCUGAGAAGGCCACCGCAGUCAUUUCUUCCGUUCUGUCAGACAUAAUUCCUCAGCCACAAUAUCACCCCUUACCACAAGACCUCCCCCUUCAGCUUAAUCUCUCCCACUCUAGGUUCCCACGCCGCCCCUAAUCCCGCUUGAAGCAGCCCUGAGAAACAUCGCCCAUUCUCUCUCCAUACCACCCCCCAAAAAAUUUUCGCCGCCCCAACACUUCAACCCAGAUGGCCUGAAGUAACUGAAGAAUCACAAAAGAAGUGAAUAUGCUUUGUCCCACCUUAACUGAUGACAUUCUAUCACAAAAGAAGUGUAAAUGGCUGGUCCUUGCCUUAACUGAUGACAUUACCUUGUGAAAGUCCUUUUCCUGGCUCAUCCUGGCUCAAAAAGCACCCCCACUGAGCACCUUGCGACCCCCACUCCUGCCCACUGAGCACCUUGCGACCCCCACUCCUACCCACCAGAAAACAAACCCCCUUUGACUGUAAUUUUCCUUUACCUUCCCAAAUCCUAUAAAACGACCCCACCCUUA